UCACCAGACUCCUACGGGAGGCAGCAGUGGGGAAUAUUGGGCAAUGGGGGAAACCCUGACCCAGCGACGCCGCGUGAGGGAAGAAGGUUUUCGGAUUGUAAACCUCUGUCCUUGGUGACGAUAAUGACGGUAGCCAAGGAGGAAGCCACGGCUAACUACGUGCCAGCAGCCGCGGUAAUACGUAGGUGGCGAGCGUUGUCCGGAAUUACUGGGUGUAAAGGGCGUGCAGCCGGGAGUGCAAGUCAGAUGUGAAAUCCCGCGGCUCAACCGCGGAACUGCAUUUGAAACUGCGCUUCUUGAGUGCUGGAGAGGCAGACGGAAUUCCUAGUGUAGCGGUGAAAUGCGUAGAUAUUAGGAGGAACACCAGUGGCGAAGGCGGUCUGCUGGACAGUAACUGACGGUGAGGCGCGAAAGCGUGGGGAGCAAACAGGAUUAGAUACCCGUGUA
rnacentral:rRNA from 1 species